rnacentral:rRNA from 1 species
AAAGCAUAAGCCGGGAAUGGAAAGACCGGUACAAGCGAGGUAGGUGUGUGACAGGCAAAUCCGUCACAUAAGCCGAAGACGUGAUGUGGAGCGAAAUUAAGUAGUGAAGUAUGUGAGCCAUGUGCCGAGAAAAGCCGCUAUUGUUUUAUAUGUGCCCGUACCGUAAACCGACACAGGUGGAUGAGGAGAGAAUCCUAAGGCCGACGGAAGAAGCAUUGUUAAGGAAUUCGGCAAAAUGACCCCGUAACUUCGGGAGAAGGGGUGCCCACUGAAUGGUGGGCUGCAGAGAAUAGGCUCAAGCAACUGUUUAGCAAAAACACAGGUCUAUGCGAAACCGAAAGGUGAAGUAUAUGGGCUGACGCCUGCCCGGUGCUGGAAGGUUAAGAGGAGAGGUUAGCGUAAGCGAAGCUUUGAAUUUAAGCCCCAGUAAACGGCGGCCGUAACGAUAACGGUCCUAAGGUAGCGAAAUUCCUUGUCGGGUAAGUUCCGACCCGCACGAAAGGCGUAAUGAUUUGAGCACUGUCUCGACAAUGCAUCCGGUGAAAUUGAAGUACCAGUGAAGAUGCUGGUUACCCGCGCCAGGACGGAAAGACCCCAUGGAGCUUUACUCCAGUUUGAUACUGGGAUUCGGUACUGCACGUACAGGAUAGGUGGGAGACUGAGAACUAUGGACGCCAGUCUGUAGGGAGUCGCUGUUGGGAUACCACCCCUGUAGUACUGGGUUUCUAACCAUCUGCCGUGAUCCGGCAGUGGGACAAUGUCAGGCGGGGAGUUUGACUGGGGCGGUCGCCUCCGAAAGGGUAUCGGAGGCGCUCAAAGGUUCCCUCAGAAUGGUCGGAAACCAUUUGAAGAGUGCAAAGGCAGAAGGGAGCUUGACUGCGACACCGACGGGUGGAGCAGGUACGAAAGUAGGACUUAGUGAUCCGGUGGUAUAAAGUGGGAUUGCCAUCGCUCAACGGAUAAAAGCUACCCUGGGAUAACAGGCUUAUCACUCCCAAGAGUUCACAUCGACGGAGUGGUUUGGCACCUCGAUGUCGGCUCAUCGCAUCCUGGGGCUGUAGCAGGUCCCAAGGGUUGGGCUGUUCGCCCAUUAAAGCGGUACGCGAGCUGGGUUCAGAACGUCGUGAGACAGUUCGGUCCCUAUCCGGCGCGGGCGGAGGAUAUUUGAGAGGAGCUGUCCUUAGUACGAGAGGACCGGGAUGGACGGACCACUGGUGUAUCUGUUGUCGACCAACGGCAUGGCAGAGUAGCCAAGUCUGGAAGGGAUAAACGCUGAAGGCAUCUAUGCGUGAAGCCCCCCUCAAGAUGAGAUAUCCCUCCUUCGGGAGUAAGACCCCUUGAAGACUACAAGGUAGAUAGGGCAGAGGUGGAAGUGUGGCAACACAUGGAGCUGACUGUUACUAAUAGGUCGAGGGCUUGUUAA